rnacentral:rRNA from 1 species
UACAGAGGUGGCAAGCGUUGUUCGGAAUUACUGGGCGUAAAGGGCGCGUAGGCGGUCUUGUAAGUCCUGUGUGAAAUCCCUCGGCUCAACUGAGGAACUGCACGGGAAACUGCUUGGCUUGAGUUCGGGAGAGGGAAGCGGAAUUCCGGGUGUAGCGGUGAAAUGCGUAGAGAUCCGGAAGAACACCGGUGGCGAAGGCGGCCUGCUGGGCUCUGGCUGACACUGAGGCGCGACAGCGUGGGGAGCAAACAGG